rnacentral:rRNA from 1 species
GCACCACAAGAACGCGUGGAGCAUGUGGCUUAAUUUGACUCAACGCGGGAAAUCUUACCAGGUCCGGACACACUGAGGAUUGACAGGAAGUAUCGUCUUUUGAAAUCUUUAAGCACAUGUCGUUUCUAAUGACAUCUUUUAGAUGAAUGAUUCGUGUAAAUAUGCUAGUUCUUUCAUGAUUAUGUGAUAGGUGGUGCAUGGCCGUUCUUAGUUCGUGGAGUGAUCUGUCUGCUUAAUUGCGUUUCACUAUGGCCCCAAAGUUAGCAAGUUAUCCAAUCAUGACCUUCGUCGACCCCUCACCUUUGAGUGCGCGUCCUAGCUUAGAGUACAUGGUGUAAAUGGACUUGUUUUGGGUACCCAGAAAGCAACGAACGUGACCGCAACGUCUUGUUGUCUCUCUUUUGACAGUUAUGGGUUAUCCCAGUCAUGUGUUUAUACUUUUAUGUGUAAAUACGUACGACACAGAGACUAGAUACCAAACUAGGCGUACCGCUGUAUCAUUUCUUUAAACCAGAGGAAGGUUGC